UCCAGCCAUGCCGCGUGUGUGAAGAAGGCCCUCGGGUUGUAAAGCACUUUCAGCGAGGAAGAACGCCUAGCGGUUAAUACCCGCUAGGAAAGACAUCACUCGCAGAAGAAGCACCGGCUAACUCCGUGCCAGCAGCCGCGGUAAUACGGAGGGUGCAAGCGUUAAUCGGAAUUACUGGGCGUAAAGCGCGCGUAGGUGGCUUGAUAAGCCGGUUGUGAAAGCCCCGGGCUCAACCUGGGAACGGCAUCCGGAACUGUCAAGCUAGAGUGCAGGAGAGGAAGGUAGAAUUCCCGGUGUAGCGGUGAAAUGCGUAGAGAUCGGGAGGAAUACCAGUGGCGAAGGCGGCCUUCUGGACUGACACUGACACUGAGGUGCGAAAGCGUGGGUAGCAAACAGGAUUAGAUACCCUGGUAGUCCACGCCGUAAACGAUGUCGACCAGCCGUUGGGUGCCUAGCGCACUUUGUGGCGAAGUUAACGCGAUAAGUCGACCGCCUGGGGAGUACGGCCGCAAGGUUAAAACUCAAAUGAAUUGACGGGGGCCCGCACAAGCGGUGGAGCAUGUGGUUUAAUUCGAUGCAACGCGAAGAACCUUACCUACUCUUGACAUCCUGCGAAUUUGGUAGAGAUACCUUAGUGCCUUCGGGAACGCAGAGACAGGUGCUGCAUGGCUGUCGUCAGCUCGUGUUGUGAAAUGUUGGGUUAAGUCCCGUAACGAGCGCAACCCUUGUCCUUAUUUGCCAGCGCGUAAUGGCGGGAACUCUAAGGAGACUGCCGGUGACAAACCGGAGGAAAGGUGGGGACGACGUCAAGUCAUCAUGGCCCCUUACGAGUAGGGCUACACACGUGCUAC
rnacentral:rRNA from 1 species